AUGGAUGACAGUGAGGAUCUGGCCCCCAGGACUCCGUCGGCUGCUACCAAGGCCAUCGACUCCGUCUCCGCCAAGGUGUGCACGGGGCACGGGCCGGACACAAGAGGGAGUUGGCAGGAGGUGCUGCCGUGGCGAGGUCCGCAGCAUCCGUCAUCACCGGCCCUGUCAUUGGCUGCUCGCCCCAUCCCUGCUUGGCUGUAUGGCAGAUGCUGCAGAUGCCUUGCUCCUGGGCACCGUGCGGCUGCUUGCAGAGAUCCACUUCGGUGUUCCCGAUGUUUGCAAAAUGGUCACCUUGCGCGCGAGUGCCGCAAUCCUUGGCGUCCUCUCGGCUCGCUGGCAUGCCUUAUCAUGCCGCGCCUCGGCAUCGAGCAUCGUCAAGCUCCAGCUUCCUGUGAAGGUUCGAUGAAGUUCGUGCUUCCCUCUGAGAUGCUUCGUCGUCGGUCCUGGGCGUCUGUCGUCUCUGGUACUGCUGGCUCAGCUACCCCGUCUGAUGUGGAGCUACAGUCCACUCUGGCAGAUCAGUCCAAGAUGUUGCAAGGCUUGAUGGUACGUCUUAAGAGUUUUCUGGAGCGGGCGGAGGCUACUCUGACCAAGCUCUCCCUCGUGCCGGCUUUGUUGCCGACUGCUCCGACGCCGCGACCUCCUGUUGUUUCUGGUGUUGGUUCCGUGGGAGACAAGGGGACGGAGCUCUUCGGUUGUUUCUCCCCUCGUGCUGGGGCCAGUUCUUCGCCGGUGUUUGUCUUGCCCCUUGUGUCGGCUACUGUUGAGGAUGAGGCCAUCGUCGAGGUCGUCACCCCUGUGCUGCAGGUCAUGCCCGAGCUUCAACAACUAUGUGUGAGACCAGCUUCGCCUCCGUCUGUGGAGCAUAUGGAGGUCGACGCGCCAGCGACCUCGUGUGAGGGACAUGAUUCUCGUUUGUCAUGUGAGCAACUGGAGGCGCCUGAGUCCACUGUGUCGGUGGCACCUGAGUCCAUUGUGUCAGUGGUACCCGUGGCUGAUGAUGGUGAGGCGGUCAGUAUGUUGGUGCCUGAUCCUUCAUGGCCCAGCCAGCCGCUCGCCUCUGUGGAUCGUGGAGGUUCCGACAUUGAGGUUACCGGCUCGCAUGUGGCUAUGAGGCACGAGGCGUCUGUGCGCGACAAGGUUGAUGAGAUUCUCUUCGAGAUUGAGAUUCACAGUUUGCUCAAACGUUUGGAGAGGGCUAGCCCUGGAUCUGGCAAGACGAUUGUGGAGGAGGCUCUGAGGAGCAAUGCAAAGAAGAGUAGCGCUACAGGAAAGGUGUCCGCAGCAGCUUGA
rnacentral:rRNA from 1 species